GCCCCCAAACCCCAAAAAUCUUUGGCGUGAUCCCAAAAUUCCCACCUCUAAGUUCCCUUCCCCACCCCAAAACUCCCUCCCUAAAAUCCCUUCCCCAUUGUCAAAAUUUGGGGGGAAAUCCCAAAAUUCCCAACCAGAAAAUUCCCUCUCCAACCCCAGAGUUUCCUCCCGAAAAUUCCGGCCCCAGCCCCAAAUUCUGUGGGGAAUUCCCAAAAUUCCUGCCCAAAACUUCCGGUGCCAACCACAAAAUUCGCUCCCUAAAAUUUCCUCCCCCACCCCAAAAUUCCAUCCCAAAAAUUUCAGCUCCAACCCCAAAAUCUGUGGGGGAAAUCGCAAAUUCCCUCCCUAAAAAUUCCCCCUCCCCAUUCCAAAAUUAUGGGGAGGAAACUCCAAAAAUCCCCUCUCCAACCCCAAAACUCCCUCCCCAAAAUUCCCUCUUCCAUCCCCACCUAAAACCUGAGGGCCAGUCCCAAAAUUCCGUCCCCAUUCCCAAAAUCUGUGAGGGAAAUCCCAAAAUUCCCACCCCAAAAUUCCCUCCCUAAAUCCCCUCCCCCACACCAAAAGUCCCUCCCAAAAAUUUUGGCUCCAUUCCCAAAAUCUCAUUGGGAAAUCCCAAAAUUUUCCCUCCUCAUUCCUAAAAUCUCCAGGGAACCCCAAAAUUCCCCCUCUUGUCCCAAAAUUUGGGACUUUCCACAAAAAUUUCAUCCCCAGACCCCAAAAUUUCAUCCCCAGACCCCCAAAAUCUUUCGAGAGCCCCAAAAUUAAUCAGGGUAGCCCCAAAAAUUUGGGAUUUUUUCCAAAAAUUCCCUCUCCAGGUCCCGAAAAUUUGGGAUUUCCCCCCCAAAUUCCCUUCCCCACACCCCAAACUCCCCUCUGGGUUCCCAAAUUUAGGAUUUCCCCCCUAAAUUCCCUCCUCCACACCCCGAAAUCCCCUCGGGGACCCCAAAUUUGGGAUUUUUCCCGGAAUUGCGGAAUUCGGGCCAGGGGUGAGGGUGGGAUUUUUCCCCAAAUUCCUCCCCCACCCCCGAACCCCCGGGGGCAUCUCCAGGUUUUGGAGUCACGGGGAGGAAUUUUGGGGUGAAUUUUGGGCAUUUUGGGGUUCCCCGGGGAGACGUUGGGGCCGAUUUUGGGUUCGCGGACCGAAAUUUUGGGAUUUUCUGAGGUAAUUUUGGUGGAGUUUCCUCACCCCGAGUGGGUUCCGGGGGUUUUCGAGGUUCGCGGAUGCGAUUCCGGCGGUUUUUACGGCGAUUUUUCUGGUUUUAGGGCGGAUUUUUGGGGUAAAUUCGGGGCUUUUCGGGGCUCCCGCGCCCUUACCGAACGCCGGCACCUCCCGCUUCCCGCCACGCCCUGGCCACGCCCACAACCCCGCCGCUUCCGGGUGCAAACCCCGCCCACGCCUCACCCUAUUGGCCAAUGCUUAUUUAAACCACGCCCAUCCCUUAUAUGGAAGCUCCUAGUUGACUCCGCCCACUGCGGGCCCGCCUGCCUUGGCCCCGCCCACUGCGGCCCCACCGGGCCCCGCCCC
rnacentral:lncRNA from 1 species